rnacentral:rRNA from 1 species
AACGAACGCUGGCGGCAUGCCUAACACAUGCAAGUCGAACGAGACCUUCGGGUCUAGUGGCGCACGGGUGCGUAACGCGUGGGAACCUGCCCUUAGGUUCGGAAUAACUCCCCGAAAGGGGUGCUAAUACCGGAUAAUGUCUUCGGACCAAAGAUUUAUCGCCCUUGGAUGGGCCCGCGUUGGAUUAGCUAGUUGGUAGGGUAAAAGCCUACCAAGGCGACGAUCCAUAGCUGGUCUGAGAGGAUGAUCAGCCACACUGGGACUGAGACACGGCCCAGACUCCUACGGGAGGCAGCAGUGGGGGAUAUUGGACAAUGGGCGAAAGCCUGAUCCAGCAAGGCCGCGUGAGUGAUGAAGGCCUUAGGGUUGUAAAGCUCUUUUACCCGGGAUGAUAAUGACAGUACCGGGAGAAUAAGCUCCGGCUAACUCCGUG